ACUUUCUCUAGAGACCGUUAGCAGUGAUACUGGCUCUGUUUAUCAUCUGUGUGCGCUUUCGUUCCAUGUGAUACAAAGCCUGUGUGAGCAUUGUGAGCUAGAUGAAAGAUGAAAGAACGAACGCCUCGCACACCAGAGAGAAGUGGUGUUCAAAUGAAUGUCAACAAAACAAAGGAGAUGAUCGUGGACUUCAGGAAACAGCAGAGGGAGCACCCCCAUCCACAUCGACGGGACAGUAGUGGAGAGGGUAGAAAGUUUUAAGUUCCUCGGCUUACACUUCACGGACAAACUGAAAUGGUCCACCCACACAGACAGCGUGGUGAAGAAGGCGCAACCUCAGGAGGCUGAAGAAAUUCAGCUUGUCACCAAAAACACUCACAAACUUUUACAGAUGCACAAUCGAGAGCAUCCUGUCGGGCUGUAUCACCACCUGGUACGGCAGCUGCUCCGCCCAUAACCGGAAGGCUCUCCAGAGGGUAGUGAGGUCUGCACAACGCAUCACCGGGAGCAAACUACCUGCCCUCCAGGACACCUACACCACCCGAUGUCACAGGAAGGCCAAAAAGAUAAUCAAGGACAACAACCACCCGAGCCACUGCCUGUUCACCCCGCUAUCAUCCAGAAGGCGAGGUCAGUACAGGUGCAUCAAAGCUGGGACCGAAGAGACUGAAAAACAGCUUCUAUCUCAAGGCCAUCAGACUGUUAAACAGCCAUCACUAACAUUGAGUGGCUGCUGCCAACAUACUGACUCAACUCCAGCCACUUUAAUAAUGGAAAAAUGUAUGUAAUCAAUUUAUCACUUGCCACUUUAUAUAAUCUUUACAUACCCUACAUUACUCAUCUCAUAUGUAUAUACUGUACGCGAUACCAUCUACUGCAUCUGCCAUCUUGAUGUAAUGAAAUGUAUCACUAGCCACUUUAAACAAUGCCACUUUAUAUAAUGUUCUCAUACCCUACAUUACUCAUCUCAUAUGUAUAUACUGUACUCUAUAACAUCUACUGCAUCUUGCCAUCUUGAUGUAAUGUAUCAUUAGUCACUUUAAACAAUGCCACUUCAUAUAAUGUUUUCAUACCCUACAUUACUCAUCUCAUAUGUAUAUACUGUACUCUAUACCAUCUACUGCAUCUUGCCAUCCUGAUGUAAUGUAUCACUAGCCACCUUAAACAAUGCUGCUUUAUAUGUUUUCAUACCCUACAAUACUCAUCUCAUAUGUAUAUACUAUACUCUUACCAUCUACUGCAUCUUGCCUAUGCUGUUUGGCCAUCACUCAUUCAUAUAUUAUUAUGUACAUAUUCGUAUUCAUUCCUUUACACUUGUGUGUAUAAGGUAGUUGUUGUGGAAUUGUUAGGUUAUAUAAGUUGUUAGAUAUUACUGCAUGGUCGGAACUAGAAGCACAAGCAUUUCGCUACACUUGCAUUAACAUCUGCUAACCAUGUGUAUGUGACAAAUACAUUUUAUUUGAUUUGAAUGUAGUAUCUGAAUGCAGUAGAGUUGGCCAGUAGUAGCCUAGAGUUGAUCCAGUAGAAUUACAUUCUUGUAUUUUAUUUGUUCAGUUUAUCAGCUGAUCCUACUGAAGGGUCGUACAUAAUCACAGAAACAUUGCAGAGUUACAUCAAUUUCUGAUACCUUAUCCAAACCAUAACCUCUCUUCACGCCAACUUCUGUAGUCACACCAACUUCCUUAACUCUCUCCAGCCCCCUGCCUUCCUUCUCUCUCCCCCUGCAGUCUCUCCAGACCCUGCCUUCCUCCUCUCUCCCCCUCCACUCUCUCCAGACCCUGCCUUCCUCCUCUCUCCCCCUCCACUCUCUCCAGACCCUGCCUUCCUCCUCUCUCCCCCUCCACUCUCUCCAGCCUCCUGCCCUUUUCCUCUCUCCCCCUCCACUCUCUCCAGCCUCCUGCCCUUUUCCUCUCUCCCCCUCCACUCUCUCCAGCCUCCUGCCCUUUUCCUCUCUUCCUCUUCACUCUCUCCAGACCCUGCCUUCCUCCUCUCUCCCCCUCCACUCUCUCCAGCCUCCUGCCCUUUUCCUCUCUCCCCCUCCACUCUCUCCAGCCUCCUGCCCUUUUCCUCUCUCCCCCUCCACUCUCUCCAGACCCUGCCUUCCUCCUCUCUCCCCCUCCACUCUCUCCAGCCCCCUGCCCUUUUCCUCUCUUCACCUCCACUCUCUCCAGCCCCCUUCCCUUUCCCUCUCUUCCCCUCCAUUCUCUCCAGCCCCCUGCCCUUUUCCUCUCUUCCCCUCCACUCUCUCCCGCCCCCUGCCCUUUUCCUCUCUUCCUCUUCACUCUCUCAGCCCCCUGCCCUUUUCCUCUCUCCCCCUCCAUUCUCUCCAGCCCCCUGCCCUUUUCUUCUCUCCCCCUCCAUUCUCUCCAGCCCCCUGCCCUUUUCCUCUC
rnacentral:lncRNA from 1 species